rnacentral:rRNA from 1 species
AAAUUGAAGAGUUUGAUCAUGGCUCAGAUUGAACGCUGGCGGCAGGCCUAACACAUGCAAGUCGAGCGGUAGCACAGAGAGCUUGCUCUCGGGUGACGAGCGGCGGACGGGUGAGUAAUGUCUGGGAAACUGCCUGAUGGAGGGGGAUAACUACUGGAAACGGUAGCUAAUACCGCAUAACGUCGCAAGACCAAAGUGGGGGACCUUCGGGCCUCAUGCCAUCAGAUGUGCCCAGAUGGGAUUAGCUAGUAGGUGGGGUAAUGGCUCACCUAGGCGACGAUCCCUAGCUGGUCUGAGAGGAUGACCAGCCACACUGGAACUGAGACACGGUCCAGACUCCUACGGGAGGCAGCAGUGGGGAAUAUUGCACAAUGGGCGCAAGCCUGAUGCAGCCAUGCCGCGUGUGUGAAGAAGGCCUUCGGGUUGUAAAGCACUUUCAGCGGGGAGGAAGGCGGUGAGGUUAAUAACCUCAUCGAUUGACGUUACCCGCAGAAGAAGCACCGGCUAACUCCGUGCCAGCAGCCGCGGUAAUACGGAGGGUGCAAGCGUUAAUCGGAAUUACUGGGCGUAAAGCGCACGCAGGCGGUCUGUCAAGUCGGAUGUGAAAUCCCCGGGCUCAACCUGGGAACUGCAUUCGAAACUGGCAGGCUAGAGUCUUGUAGAGGGGGGUAGAAUUCCAGGUGUAGCGGUGAAAUGCGUAGAGAUCUGGAGGAAUACCGGUGGCGAAGGCGGCCCCCUGGACAAAGACUGACGCUCAGGUGCGAAAGCGUGGGGAGCAAACAGGAUUAGAUACCCUGGUAGUCCACGCCGUAAACGAUGUCGAUUUGGAGGUUGUGCCCUUGAGGCGUGGCUUCCGGAGCUAACGCGUUAAAUCGACCGCCUGGGGAGUACGGCCGCAAGGUUAAAACUCAAAUGAAUUGACGGGGGCCCGCACAAGCGGUGGAGCAUGUGGUUUAAUUCGAUGCAACGCGAAGAACCUUACCUGGUCUUGACAUCCACAGAACUUUCCAGAGAUGGAUUGGUGCCUUCGGGAACUGUGAGACAGGUGCUGCAUGGCUGUCGUCAGCUCGUGUUGUGAAAUGUUGGGUUAAGUCCCGCAACGAGCGCAACCCUUAUCCUUUGUUGCCAGCGGUCCGGCCGGGAACUCAAAGGAGACUGCCAGUGAUAAACUGGAGGAAGGUGGGGAUGACGUCAAGUCAUCAUGGCCCUUACGACCAGGGCUACACACGUGCUACAAUGGCAUAUACAAAGAGAAGCGACCUCGCGAGAGCAAGCGGACCUCAUAAAGUAUGUCGUAGUCCGGAUUGGAGUCUGCAACUCGACUCCAUGAAGUCGGAAUCGCUAGUAAUCGUAGAUCAGAAUGCUACGGUGAAUACGUUCCCGGGCCUUGUACACACCGCCCGUCACACCAUGGGAGUGGGUUGCAAAAGAAGUAGGUAGCUUAACCUUCGGGAGGGCGCUUACCACUUUGUGAUUCAUGACUGGGGUGAAGUCGUAACAAGGUAACCGUAGGGGAACCUGCGGUUGGAUCACCUCCUUACCUUAAAGAA